rnacentral:sRNA from 1 species
UGUAAAUACCCUCCUUGGGUGUUUCCUCCCUAGACUUAGACCGCCGUGAGGCGGUCUUUUUUUAAGCCAUC